rnacentral:lncRNA from 1 species
UCAUAUAGGCCCCAGUUGAGAUGAACAAUCUAUUGUUUUAGGCAAUGUACAGACAUGCUGUAGGAGGUGCAUCUCACCCCAGCGAGCUCAGAGACUGCAGAGACAAAGUGUGGACAGAGAGACAACCAUAAAGAAAUUAAAUAAUAACUCACCUUGGACACAAAGACAGGGGCUGAACCAAGAAGAGAAUACAGAUCCCCUGCCUCCCUGCUCUUCUUUCAAGCAGCAGCGGUUGGCAGUUUUCCUCAACUUUGCAAGAGAGAGAGAGACUCGGUUGGAAUGAAACCUUGCUCUCCGUACAUCCUGCUUGAGAUGCAGCAUUGAAAGAUCACUCACAAUCAGUUUGUGGCCUUUCUCUGAAGGAACCUUUUCUGUCUCUUGAGUAAGUAUUUAUACUAAACAUUUUAUACUUUUCAUUGGUAUGAGUUGUGAAGUUCCAUCAAAGUUAGCCCAGGGCCCUUGUAAACUUCUCUGUUGCUCCC